CUCCACAUGGACAGGUCAAGUCAAAGGUCUACGCACUGACCAGGAAGUCAAAAGGAAUGUUUGCAUGGGAUACCACGAUGGCUGUCCCCUUCAUGGAAACACGUCAUGUAUGAUUGGUCCUUUAAGGCUUCAGUCUCUUUACUGGUCCCCAACAUGGACUCCUUUCUUUUGCAUCCCGGCU
rnacentral:sRNA from 1 species